CCCAAGCUGAAAGAUGCAUCCUUUUUCCUCUGGAAAGGCAAUCAUGAAAGUGGAAUGGAAAAGCCAACAGUCUCUUAAAGAAAAGUCACAGCAUCCAGAGGGGCUGCCAGCCUAAUAAAUUGUUUGUUGAACUGGUUUGGCUGAUGAGGUUGACAAGGCAACAUGAAGCUUAAAAAGGAAAUCUGCCAAGGUGGCCGAUAUGCCUGAGGCUCAGGCUGCCUCUGGUGCCUCCAUCAGGCAUGAUGAAAUUCUCAGAAGCCCCACAUGGUCUGCUGGAAGCAAAGGCAGAAUUCACUGACCAUGUCAGUUGGAGAUCUCGCCCGGCCCCUUCCAACCUCAGGCAAUCCUGAUCUUGGGGCCCAGGAGGGUCUUUGCUAAUUAGCGCUGCACCUGGCUGCACCGUCUCUCAGAGGAUGGCCAGGUGGAGACAUCUCAAAUGAGAGGCUGGAGUCCUGAGCCAGAACGCAUGCAUAUAGUGGGCUUUUUUACUCACUAGAUAUGGCCCUUAGAAUCACUUGUGUGUUAAAAAGAUUUUUCUAAGUUGACUGUUGUUGUCCAUGUACUGUAUUGUAAAAGGAGCCUCCCUGGUGGCUCAGCGGUAAAGAAUCCACCUGCCAGUGCAGGAGACAUGGGUUCGAUCCCUGGGUCAGGAAGAUCCCCUGGAGAAGGAAAUGGCAGCCCACUCCAGUAUUCUUGCCUGGGAAAUCCCAUGGGCAAAGGGAGCCUGGCAGGCUGUGGUCCAUGGGGUUGCAAAGAGCAGGACGUGACUUAGAGGCUAAGUAAGAACAAUGACAAUACAGUAAAAGAAUCCUAUGGCAAAUUCUUUUGUAAAGUAAGGAAUGCUUUUGGAGAGCUGCUUUCUCUUCUGCAAUUAUGGGGUGGAGUCUGGUGCACAAGGAGCUCUCAGCAAAUACAAGGGAGUGGAUUGGCAAGGAAGCACCUGGCCUUCGGAGUCAUGUCCUACAUUUGGAUUCUACCACUGAGUUGAGUAAGAUUUUGUUUACCUGAGCUAAGCCCCUGAAUGGAGGAAUUUUCAUCUCUAAACUGGGGAUAAUAAUAUCUGCCCUAUAAAGGAACAGAGUGAAUGAAAUAAGCAUGGCACAGCAACACAGGAAAUCCUCCCUUCGUGUCAGCACUCAUCAGAGUUGAUGCUUCUUGAAGCGGCGACCUUCCGCACCAGCCAAUCCCAUAGGAGCCGGCUAAGUCACAGCUGUAACUCAUCCUGGGUUGAGGAGGGCAGGCCUCCAGGCAGAUGUUACUACUCCUUCCCUGCUCCACAGCCUUUGCUGGGGCCUCUGGGAAAGCUCUUCUACCCUCCCUGGAUUGUUUGCAUGUCUGUCUUCCCACCUAAACUGAAGCAUGUAGCAUCAUGAGGGCCCAGCACAGUAAUCGGCACACACUAACUGUGCAACUGGAUUAAUUCACAUUGCAGUUUUAAAUAUCUCCACGGGUGGCUUUGGGUGUUAAUAAAAGGGGAAAGAAAAUCUUGUAGGUUAGGUCUCUUUUAUUUUUAAUUCCAGAAAACCCAGUAUCAGUGGGCUUAAACAUGGGUAACUGCAAAGUCCAGGAGUGGGGUUGCCUCCAGUGAUGCUACCAGGAACUGACUUCGCUUCCUCUGUCAUUUGGCUCAACUUUUUCUGAUUGAUUCCAUUUCAAACAGGUUGUUUGCCUCUAGCCGGCAAAAUGGCUGCAUAGGUCUGGACCUAAACUCUUGCAGUUUCUAAUCCAGCAGGAAAAAAACAGCAAGAAGUUUUUGUCCCAGUAGGAGACUCGUUUCAACUUUAUUGUGGUCAUGGAUCCAUCUCUGAGACACUCGGGAGGUGGCAAGUUGACUGGCUUGUAUUACUACCUGAGCCAUAGAUAUGGACAACACAUCAGGAGAUGGCUGCCAACACAUCAGGAGAUGACUGCCAUUGGAAAGAUAGUUUAUUACUUGAGUUCCCAAGAGGAUGGGGCGUGCCAGGCCAGGCCACAGCAGCGAAGCACCAGGAGUCAGAAGGAGGAAGGGAGAGCUUGGGGAGGAAGAGGACUUGGUCAGGUCCUGCUGCCCACAGAAGCCUGGGAAACUGUGGUUCUAAAGCCAGGGUCCACUGACUGAUGCCAAUCCAAGAUGCUGUUUCCAAAUCCUCUGUGAGAAGAAAAAUAAGGACAAUAUAUAUGUCAGUGCAAGAAUGCCAGUUGUUCUUUCUUAGAUUCCCAUCUGUGACUUGAUAAAUAUUUGAUGCAGUGGCCAGUCAACAUCCCUACAUUAGUGAAACUUCUGCCCAGGAGCAACUGCACAGCUCUCAGCAAUGAGAUCGGAAUGAAAAGGAUAUUCUUGUGAACCUCGAAGUAUGAGCAGAUGGAGGAAAACUACCAAAAGUUCAAGACCCACAUCAUAUCAGGGUCUGCGCAGGAGGAAGCCAUGAGGUAUCUGACAGACCUGAGAACAGGAGAACUCUUAAGACUGGCACUAGUUCAGUUCAGUUCAGUCACUCAGUCGUGUCCAACUCUUUGCAACCCCAUGGACUGCAGCACACCAGGCUUCUCUGUCCAUCACCAACUCC